rnacentral:tRNA from 1 species
GGGGUUGUGGCUCAGUGGUUGAGCAUUCGUUUGGCACAUGUGAGGCACUGGGUUCAAUCCUCAGCACCA